rnacentral:rRNA from 1 species
UACAGAGGGGGCAAGCGUUAUUCGGAAUUAUUGGGCGUAAAGGGCACGUAGGUGGUCUCAUUUGUCUGGGGUGAAAGCCUUGAGCUUAACUCAAGAAGUGCCCCAGAAACGGUGAGACUGGAGUCUUGGAGAGGGUCGUGGAAUUCCCGGUGUAGCGGUGAAAUGCGUAGAGAUCGGGAGGAACACCAGAGGCGAAAGCGGCGACCUGGACAAGUACUGACACUCAACUGCGAAAGCGUGGGGAGCAAACAGG